UUGAAAUUCUCGCGAAACAAAAGAAGAAAAACGGCGACAGACAGAGGAGGAGAAGCUUGAGCUACCAGACUUUGUGACACACCAUUUGUACUCCGUCUAAGUUCAAAGUGGAGUAUAUUAUUUUUGUGACUAAGCUCAAUAUUUUGAUAUACUCUGUUUGAGCUUUUACCUUCUCUAUUGUAUUGUCUGUAGUAGUGUGUUUUUCUUGCUUGUGCCCAGGGAAGUUUUUACACGUUAAAAAUUGUUUGUGUCUCUUCUUUACUUUAUUGUUACUGCCUCUCAUUCUGUUUACUUUUUUCAUAUGAGAAAUACUAGUAAUCCAAUGUUCCCAACUGCUUUUCUCUUGAUCUUGAAAUUCAUGUGUCAAAAAUCAGAUUCAUAUUUAUCUUAGAAGUGGUGGACACAGCAAAAAUGAGGCCGAAAGAAAGGUGGAGGUAAUUGAGACGACCACCAUUGAAGUUGAAAUAGAGUGUGUUGGGUGCUACCAAUGGUGAUCAUAGUGGAGAGAUGUUGAGUAGACAAUACCAAGGUGGUAUAAGGGGUGAAGAAAAAGUGAAGGGUAUGCGAUUAUAUUAUUUUAAUAAGGUAUUAACCGGCGACAAUAAUCACUAAUUCCUUUACCACAGGCACUCGUACAAAUUGGCAAAUCUCUAGCAACAAAAUAUGUUUCAUUCCAAUAGGGAGAUUUUGCAUUACAAAAUGUCUCUGUUGCUGGUUGGGCUGCUGCUGCUGCUGUAACUGGAACCUUGGUUGGUUAAGAGCAAGUUGUUGGGCCAUGGCAUGCUGUUGUAACGGGAACAUUGGUUGGUUGAGAGCAAGCUGUUGGGUUAUGGCAUUCGCGAGGGAUUCCCCACCAAAAUCUGCAACAAUACAGCUCAAAUGUUGGACUCAAUAUACAAUAUCUCACUCAGUGCUACCAAAAUAACAACAAAUUAUUAUACAGCUGCUGAAAUUCAAGUAUGUUGUGGCAACAAGCGCAAACGAAUGUUAGUACACAAGUCAACACAAAUAAAAAUGAGUGAAUUUAUGUCAUUCAUGUUGAAUUUAACUGGUAUUCAAAUACACACGUAACCCUAGUAGCAUACUAUGUCCAACACUAAAAUGAUCUUGUCAAUUUGAAUGCAUAAAAGCAGAGAACCCUGCACCUGGCCACAUGGAAAAUGCAGAAAUUCUAAUGAAGUGACCUAUUAUGUGCAUUACUUUUACCUGUCCCUUUUUUUUCCAAAAAUGCAAACCGAUACUGCCAUGGUACAUUUCCUCCUAAUUUUAGUGUUCUACAUGUGCAUGUAUGUGCCGCAAAUAUUUAGAUAGAGAAGUCGGGAGAAGAUAUUUAUGUUCAACACAGAAUCAAGGGAGUAUAAUGAUUUGAAGACAGGGGAGAGGGCAAUGGAGACAAAUGCUUAUGACUACGAGUUCAACCUGCUAAACCAUACUGCCAAUGUCCUCAACAGAUACAACUCAUACAAGUUCAAAGUGUUUGUUUACACAACAGUAUUUCAGACUUUCAGUGACCAUGCUAUGAUUACAAGAUGUAAUACAGGUUCAGUCAGAAGUAAUCACAAAUGAUGAGAGAACGUUAGAGUUUGUUAAAACGCUGGUUAACCAGUAACAAUUAGCACUUUGUUAAUAUAUUUCUGAAAGACAUAGCAGAGAAAGGGUUGAAGGCAAUAAAAGAU